GACGAACGCUGGCGGCGUGCUUAACACAUGCAAGUCGAACGAAGUGGCGAACGGGUGAGUAACGCGUAAUAAACCUGCCCUUCAGGGGGGGACAACAGUUGGAAACGACUGAUAAUACCGCAUACUGAAGGAGGGGAUUGCGUCUGAUUAGCUAGUUGGCGGGGUAACGGCCCACCAAGGCGAUGAUCAGUAGCCGGUCUGGGAGGGUGAACCGCCACAUUGGGACUGGGGACAGGCCCAGAAUCCUAAGGGAGGGAAGAGUGGGGAAUCAUUCGCAAUGGAGGGAAGUCUGACUGCGCAACGCCGGGUGAGUUGUGACGGGCUUCGGGUUGUAAAGCUCUGUUAAUCGGGACGCGGUACCGGAAGAGAAAGCCACGGCUAACUACGUGCCAGCAGCCGCGGUAAUUC
rnacentral:rRNA from 1 species